CGAAUGCAGCCCAGUGUCAGUAUCUUGUUUUUACAAUUUCAAAAUUGAAUUGAGGGUAAAUUCUUGGUUUCAUUAAUCAUUUCAUUUGACACAAUUUUGGGCAUAUAUGUGAUAACACUAUUGGUACUCUUGCAGUAAAGCACAUGCUUUUACAGAGUCAUUCUGAUAUUUUUUUUGUACGAUAAGUGCAGGUUGAAAAGGGUCCAUCUAUUAAUUGACACUAAAUUUUGCUGAGGUAAAUAGCAAGGGAGAGUAUCUCAGUAAAUCUGUCAACAUUCAAAGUCUGCAAACAUUGAUUGUCCUUGCUGCAGUCAAUUAUGUCUCAAGUAAGACAACCGAAACUUCACAACUGAUUUUAACUGUUCCUUCAAUCCCUUCACACAGUAACAGUUGAGAGUUGCCAUGAUCUCGUUAAUUGUGGAAAUUGUUAGUUGUUCUGCAUCUUUUAUAACGGUGAUAUCCAGGUAGCUUGAUCGUACCUCGACUAAUUGUUUGUUAUUCUAGAUCUUCGUACUAAUUUUCUUGAUUUUGCUUUACGUUAACGACACUGAGGAACAACUUGAGGCCGCACAAUGAUAUUCUCCUUCUCUAGUCGAUUGGUUUCUAAAUAGAAACAGAUCUAAGAUUUAUAAUCAUUAGAUUAUAUUACUACUAUAUAUAUAUAUAUGAUUUGAGCCAAAACCUAUGGGUGCAGAACCCAUGAUGCUGAAGGCUAGAUCCGUCUGUCUAUUUGUACAUAAUUCGUAUAGUUUAACUGAAGUAUGAAUCUGUUUGUCAAUUUAACAUAAAUCAUUGUCAAUUGCCUAUACCUCAAAUCAGAAUGUUUUGUAAUAUUUUUUAAGAAUGUUACUAUAAGUAAAAGCGUUAAAUUUAAGUUGUAUCUAUUUUUAGAGAACCAUUAAUUUAUUUUAGAAGAUAAAUUAUUUGGUAUACGAGGAAAUGAGCUCGAUAAGAGUAUAGUUGGUCCUGAUUAGUUUGGGAUUGAAAUGUGUUUUGAUUAUUUUGAUUGAUAUAUAAUCCCAAAGUGUUAAUUGUUUGCGGAUAGCGAGGUUAAGGGAAAUGAACCAUUAGAAAAUUCAAAAUUUUACCUCUACUAUGAACUAGAAAAUGAACAAAGAAAUACAAACCACGGCGAGAUAUUUCUUGCUUAAUUGAUAACUAGCAUUAACCUACACCUUGAUUUUCCGGUCUAAAUAAAAGAAAGUAGGAGACACAAGAGCUGGCUUGGUGUCUGUCAUCCUUAUUCAGUACUUGAUUGCUAUUGCUGGAUUUCUCAUCUUAACCACCUUCUCAAAUCAGUGGUUGAACAAGGAGAAAUUUCUCCACCAAGGCUGUCGGUGUAACACGAAUAGUUUGAUUGUUGUUCCAUCCCCAUAUAGGCAGCUUGAAGACUUUUGAAACUAGGACUUCUCAAGUUCUGACUAUAGCCAUAGGUAGCAUUAAGAGAAUACGGCUCAGGAAUUGGGUAAGAGAGACGUUUUUUAACCGACCCAACCCUUUCUCUUUCUGGCGUAGAUGGCCUUUGUUUUGGCGUGCUUUGUGAACGAAUCCGAGCUUUUGCAGACUCAGUAGCAGCCAUAUAAUUAGGAACUGCAGCAGCUGCAUCAUUUCCUGAAGUGCUAUAUCGGGACAUUAUACUAUUUGAACGGGUAGUGGAGCGUAGGCAUGGAGUGUUUGCAGUUGAUUGGCUUUUACGUGGGCUUGUUGGGCGCAUUUGGAGAGGUUUUGGUUGACAAGGGGGUGGGGUAGCUGGUGGUUGAAUUGUGGAGUAAUUGUAAUGUGAUGGUCUCUGGUGAUGGGGAGAAUUAGCAGCACAAUGAGGACUACUAGCUUGUCUGUGAAGCGGACUCGAGUGGUGUGAUCUUCGAGCAUUUGGAACCAUGUUAGAAUAGGACUUAGCCGUGUCCAUCUCAACAGUCUUUAUAGAGUCUCUUCUGUCAAAUGAACCUCUGCUGCUGGCAGUGUUCCAUUGUUUGGACGACAUCCAAUCAUCCAGCCAAUUUGCUGUUUCUUCUAGUUCCCUCUCAUUUCUUUCUUCACUGCCAAGAUCCAUCUCAUCCCAUACCUAUACGUAAAAUACUUUAAGUAAUUGAGUGCUUACUUCUUGAAAGAAUAGAAUGUGAAUUCAUGUUUAACACAAGAACUAACAGAAAGUUCAACCUGUUGAGUAAAAGCAUGAGCAAGGGAUUUUUCCCUAUUAAAGGCAGCUUCUUUUCUGGCUUGUAACAUUGAUUCCAGCUCUAGAAGCGAUCUCGGGCAAUCUCUCCAAUCAUCAGCAAUGGAGCUUCCAUCUCUAGACUGUAGUUAGUACAAAAAAUUUACUGUCAGAGAUUAGUUAGGAGGUUCUGAGUGUUAUGUUUAUUUUUAUUUUUUUAUUAAGAGACUCGACUAAUCCCGGGGGUACACAGGCCCUCGGCAAGGAGUUUCCCGCAAGUGCAACACGGUUCUGAGUGUUAUGUUUAUUACACUACCUAAGGUGGAAAGUAGAGCUUACUCUGGACUUCCUGUCUCGGAUGUCAUGAAGAUAUUUAGAGUCCCAUAAGUUAGUGGUUUCAGCAAACAUAGACCUGCGGCCUCCAUCAUGUGAAAGGCGAGUACGUUGUUCGCGAACUCGAGCCUGCACCCUAAGCAGAGCUUGCAUACAUUUCAGUGUCAUCUUUGCUUGCUUCCUGACGUUUUGACCCCUUAUUAAUGCUUGUAGCUUCACUAUCCCCUUCAAUGCAAUUAGUGCCCUCCUAGCCUGCACCAAGAAAUUAAGUAAUCGACUGCUUCACAUGACAGCUAAAUAAUUAACCAGUACAUCUAUAAAUAUUCAACAUUCCAAUGCAUGACUUGUGAUCAAUUCAAUAUGGUCCUCAAUCUAACGCUAGCUACUGUCACCCCUGAAUUAAGCACUUAUGGUAACUACUAGCUCCUGACUGCUUUCUCCUUUCAAAAUGCUAGACUGGUAUUUUUACUAAUUCUCUCCGGUUUUAAAUUUUAAAAUCACUAAAUUUUAUAGGAUCACAUUGACUUUUCCGUAAACACCUAUCUCUGAAUUUUAUUUUCUUCAGCACAGGUCAAAAUCUGGAUGGAGAGCUUUGGAGCAACAGUAAAGUUGUCGUUCAAGCGGUAGAACCAGCUAUUAAUGCUUGCAUUAGGUAAACUGUCUAUAUCACAUCCCUUGAGGUGCGGCCCUUCCCUGGACCAUGUGUGAACUCGGAAUGCCUUGUGCACGGCUGCCCUUUAGCACAAGUCAAAAUCUGAUGAUGGAGUCAACAAUAUAUAUCUUCACAUGUUUCUGAACAAAUGGUAAACCGUUCAUAUUUUUACAUAACUUGUAUCAUAACAAUCGUGCCAGUACAUAUAAAUGGUGACAGAAGGGAGUUAAUACAACAAAAAAAUAUCAUUUUCUUGGUUGAAGAAAACUUGUAGCAUAACCUUGAAAUAGCUCACUUACCAGAUAUCCUCUGAAUGCAGUUUGGAUGAGUAUAGCAGCAUUGUGUUGCCUGUUUGAGGAAGGUGGAUUAUUUGAGGAUCGUGUCAACCGUAUGAUUUCAACUGCUGCUUGAGCUGUGGCCACGGCAGCUUCAGCUGCUGCUGUUGCUGCGGCCACUGCAAUUGCAUGCUUUGGAUCAGUAAUUACCUUCCCUUCAGUUUGUUGACCAUUUUGUGGCUGUUUUCUGAACAACCACCUUCUCUUCUCUCUUUUCUGUACAUGGUACACCAAUUAAGAGUCCAUAUAGUGUAUAUACAAGUAAUGCACUAGGAUUAAUUUUGUUGAAAUAGUAAGCAAAAUUACCUUUUCUUCA
rnacentral:lncRNA from 1 species